AUGUGGUUUUACUAAGUUUAACCUUUUUGUAGCCCCUUUUCUUCUUUUUGAAAUAAGAAAUACACGAAGGAAUAGUUCUGACAUCUUACUAACAUCAGCAGAUACUAUUGGAUUUGUUGAAAACUGGGUUAAACCUAGUAAUGAACAAAGAUCUGAAACGCCAGAUUGAGGAAGAAUAAGGAAACUGAUAUGAACUUACUUCUAGUUAUGGCUUCUGUAGAGAAUCGCUCCAUCCGGAGUCUGGAGGAAGAACGGACAAGUGCUCUGACACCAGCCGUAGGGCUACUGUUCAUUUCAGAUCCGAGAGAGGUGAGGAAGUGUCGUGCUGGCUCCGUGCAGUCGUCCUUGCCAUACAUAGCGCAGGAGCAGGACGGGCUUUUCGUGUGUAACUGUGACCAUCUGCGCACGUGAGAGCCACAGGGACGUGGAUUGCUGACUGCGGACACUCUCUGUUCCUUUACUUGACGAUGACUCUGCAACCUGGUGCGCUCUGCUACUGCACUCUUUUUGUUUUACUUUAGCAAAUAAACCAAAGAUCGGAUGCACUAAAUUCCUUCUUUCGUGCGUAAUAGCCGCGCGGUAAGGCUACGGUGACGCGUUUUGCUUUUCAUCAUUGAGAGCGGGGCAAGUUUUCAAAGGCAUCGAUGAGCUACUGUCGGAGUGAGACUUUGGCAUCUGAGGGUACCUGUUGGAAUUAAAAAAAAUACAAACGUUACUUUAAAGGGAAACUGGAACGGUGCGUCUUCAGUGGAUUUUUUGCGCCUUGGUGACCCUCUUGUGGUGUGGUAUGACGGUGGAAACCAUGUUUUCAUGCAAUACGAGUGCCAUAAAGGACUGGAGCUACUUUCUGUCUCAGAUAUUGCCUUUAAUGAAUAAAACUACAGCCUCCGCUUUGUCGAUGGUCAACAUCGACAAAGCAGAGGCUGUGACGACCACUGUGGUGACAUCCUUGCAGCCGGACGGCGCCAUGAGCGCGAGUAAUCCCCCUAUCGACUCCAACCAUACCUCGGGCAUGGAGCACGUCUUUCAGUAUUCGUACUCGGAGAGUGACCUGCUGUACACGGACUACCGGACACCGGAGAGAGACCCCAUGCCUCUUCCCAAAGCGGUGCUCUACCUGGUCAUGGCAGCGCUGGUAGUAGUGGCAGUGGCGUAUGCGAUAGUUGGACACCUGGUCAAAGAUGUGGUGAAUGACUUCGUCGGUGGAGGCAGGUCGAUUGUUGGGGAAGGUGACGGUACAGAAACCAGUGAACCAGACUGGAUGUUUGGCUCUCGUCGUGCUGCCAACCGCAACAAGACCGAGGUUAACUCAAUCACCAACACCAUGAAUGAGAUGAGUGAGAGGCCCCCGCUGGUGGAAAUGAGCUACAUAUCCCUGAACCACACCAACCAUCUGAGCUCCACCAGACUGGAGGAGGUGGCUGUGUAAUGUUGGGCCAGAAGGUACUUGGAGGCAUGAGAUGCUGAUGUUUGUAUGUGACUUGAUUCUUUCUGGCUGAAAUGACAGAAGAGGGCAGCUAUAGCUUGUUUGGACAAGCAGCCGGAGAGACAACAGUUAUUUUUUCAUGCUUAGUCCUCAACAUGCCAACCCCUUUAUUUCUCCAAGUUACCCCUCAUCCGUUUAAAAUGAAAACACCAAUGCAAACAAUAUUUAAUCGCUCUAGAUAUACAAAACAUGCUGGUCAGUGCUUAUUGUAACAUUUCUGACAGCAAAGUGAAAAACUUCACCCUCAUAAGAACAGUUACAUUAACCCUUUCGUCAUUUUCGCUGAUGCUGCGAGAUGAGUUUUUGCAUAAUCAUCGUAAAUUUGUAUCUCUUUCUAUAUAACAAUACUGUAAUUACCAAAGGCAAGUCUAUUCUUAAAGAUUAAAUAACAUCAUUUGGUAGUUUCAUGGUAAUAGCUUGAUGUAAGAGGAAACAAGUGCUAAGUCACCUUCAAGAGCUCCGGUUAUAUCUGUUGUCAACUCUCUAAUCACAUCUAAGCACUCCUUUGAAGCAAAAAAUGUGCAUUGCUUUUUAUGUUAUUAAUGGUUACAUGUCACAUGGAAUGGCUUUUGUCAAAGCCUUUGUUUACCUUUAUUACCUCACUGUUAAGGGCUACAUACUGCUGCUGAUGACACUGCUCAAAGAUACAAAUAACGGGGCUUAUUUCUCCUUUGCAUGUGGUCCUUAUCCUCUGCACACAUGGAUCUACUAUAAACUGUGUCUUUGAAGGGUCUGUUCUACCUGAAAGUACUGAUGUCAGAACUCCAAUUUUCUCUCACGUUCAUAAUAGGUUUGAAUAAAAGGUUCCAGGAAUGGGCGUCUUACCCAAUUUAAAUUUGGUCUCCUAUUCAAAAUCAUCAUCUCAGCUUUGCACAAACACACUAAACAUCAAGCUGUUUCAAACGUAUUCAAAUUUCCUGUGGAGGAUCAUGUGGGGAUGAGAACUGGUCUCAGAAUAUCACUGAAUAGUUUUCACUGGAAAGGUCCACAGUAACCCGGGUCAUAGGCAGUACAUCAUGAAGGCUCAUUAUUAGUUUUUGUAUUUACCAGGUUUUUCAUCAUAAAUUUGUGUCCCACGGUGAGACUACUAACAUGAAUUCUGCUGUGCCAGGAGGUCUGAAGAUAAGCAAAUUAAGCAAAAAUGACAUGAACUGUGGGGUAAGCAGUUGUAUGCUGGUGGGCAUUGUUUCUUUCCUUUUCUUUUUUCUUUUUGGUUCACAUCAACAAGAUCUUAGUUUGUCCCUUCCCCAAUCUGCAAGACUUUGUUUUUAGAGUCUUGUUCCUCAAACAUGUUAAUCACACUGAUCUGUGAGUGUAAAAGUUUGGAAAACAGCCUGCAAAAAAACAAGAACCCCCCCCCAAAAAGCAAUAAAACAAACAAACAAACAAACAAAAAUCCAUGCUCUUUCAUUUUUUACCAUGCUGUUAAUCACUGUAUUCCUUUCAGAUCAUUAAAUAAAUACUCAUUGGUAAAAGUAUGUGUUUUGGGUUUUGUGCUUCUUUAAUAUUUUGAUAGAGAUAAAAAAAAUCUUUUUGUUAUGUAACAAAG
ensembl:lncRNA